GUGAAAUAUUCCAUAGGCAAAUAUUUUUGUACAAAUAUUUUUAUAGGGAGUCUACAUUAAAAAAAAAAAAGCCUACUUUAAAUAAAUGAGACAGACUUAGACGUUUUUGCAUCUGAAAUCUUCACAUGCAAUCUGUACUUCAUUAUACUGCAAAUCUACAGUUGUACUUCACUGUACUACAGUUUUACUGCUGUUGAACUUGAAUGAACUGCAGUUAUAUACUUCAUUAUACUUCAAAUCUCCAGUUAUACUACUUUGUACUGCAGUUAUUUUUUGUAAGGGACAUGCUAAUGUUAUCAGACAAACAUACAGCAAUAGCUACAAUAAAGGAGAGGAGUGCAGCUGGAGAGAGAGAGAUGAGGAGCCGCCAGACUGAUUUGAAACAUGCUGCUGAUCAAAGUUAGAUAUCAGGACUCCAGGAAAUUUAUCAGACUUCAGGAUGGAUUCACUUUUGCAGACUUUGUUAAUGAAGUCCACAGUAGGUUUGGCCUACCACCUGAGACAAAUCUACACAUUUAUGACGACACUGAAACUGAGAUAGACGAGGACAUUUUACAAGAUGUGCUCAAUGCGAGACCUGAUACGUCGCUCAUUAUUGUUAGAAGAGAGAAUGAAGAAAUGUUAUCAGAUGCAACAAGCAACUCUUGGACUGACAUUUUGUCACUUAGUCAUUCAUCAUAUGAACUUGACCAAAUGCCAGAACGACCUUACAAGAAAUCUAAGAGACAUGAUGCAGCAGCUGAGGCAAAAGAGGUUACUUGUUCAUUUAAAUAUAGUACAUGUUUUAUUUUUUUAAAUACAUUAAGUUAGUAAAAUUUUGAUGUAUCAUGUUUUUUUUUGAAGAUGGUUCGUAGUGCCCUAAAGCAGACAAGUGGAGGAGAUGCUGUCCUUGCUGAAUACAGUUCCAAAAAUACACUUUCAAGUGAAAUGAGACGAGUCCUAGUCAACAUUUUAGUUGGACAUAUGGUGGAAAUGCAUGGGUAAAACUGCUUUUUAUUUGCUCUUAAAUACUCAUAGGCAUGACAG
rnacentral:lncRNA from 1 species